UACGUAGGGGGCAAGCGUUGUCCGGAAUCAUUGGGCGUAAAGCGCGCGUAGGCGGCCCGGUAAGUCCGUUGUGAAAGUCAAAGGCUCAACUUUUGAACGCCGAUGGAUACUGCCGGGCUAGAGUCCGGAAGAGGCGAGUGGAAUUCCUGGUGUAGCGGUGGAAUGCGCAGAUAUCAGGAGGAACACCGAUGGCGAAGGCAGGUCACUGGGCCGCAACUGACGCUGAGGAGCGAAAGCAUGGGGAGCGAACAGG
rnacentral:rRNA from 1 species